UACGGAGGAUCCAAGCGUUAUCCGGAUUUAUUGGGUUUAAAGGGUGCGCAGGCGGGAUGUUAAGUCGGCGGUGAAAUUUUGCAGCUCAACUGUAAAAGUGCCUUCGAAACUGGUUUCCUUGAGUGUGGAUGAAGUAGGUGGAAUUUGUGGUGUAGCGGUGAAAUGCAUAGAUAUCACGAGGAACUCCGAUUGCGCAGGCAGCUUACUAAACCAUACCUGACGCUCAGGCACGAAGGCGUGGGGAUCAAACAGGAUUAGAUACCCGGGUAGUCCCU
rnacentral:rRNA from 1 species